rnacentral:rRNA from 1 species
UACGGAGGGGGCUAGCGUUGUUCGGAAUUACUGGGCGUAAAGCGCACGUAGGCGGCUUUGUAAGUUAGAGGUGAAAGCCCAGGGCUCAACCCUGGAAUUGCCUUUAAGACUGCAUCGCUUGAACAUCGGAGAGGUAAGUGGAAUUCCGAGUGUAGAGGUGAAAUGCGCAGAUAUCAGGAGGAACACCGAUUGCGAAGGCAGCUCGCUGGGACGUUACUGACGCUGAGACGCGAAAGCGUGGGGAGCAAACAGG